GGAGGUAUAGAUCAAUGGUAGAGCGUGUGCUUAGCAUGCAGGAGGUCCUGGGUUCAAUCCCCAGUGCCUCCC
rnacentral:tRNA from 1 species